AUUGAACGCUGGCGGCAGGCCUCAUUCAUGCAAGUCGGGCGAGCGGCGGACGGGCGAGUAAUGUAUGGGGAUCUGCCUGAUGGAGGGGGAUAACUACUGGAUACGGUAGCCAAUACCGCAUACCAUCAGAUGAACCCAUAUGGGAUUAGCUUGUAGGUAAGGUAACGGCUUACCUAGGCGACGAUCCCCAGCUGGUCUGAGAGGAUGAUCGACCAAACAGAGACUGAGACACGGCCCAGGAGCCUGCGGUAGGACGCAGUGGGGAAUAUUGCACCAUGGGCGCAAGCCUAAUGCAGCCAUGCCGCGCGUAUGAAGUAGGCCUUAGGGUUGUAAAGUACUUUUAGGCGGGAGGCGUUACCGACAGGAGAAGCACCGGCUAAGUACGUGCCAGCAGCAGCGGUAAUUC
rnacentral:rRNA from 1 species